rnacentral:rRNA from 1 species
GAUGAACGCUGGCGGCGUGCCUAAUACAUGCGAGUCGAGCGAACGGACGAGAAGCUUGCUUUUCUGAUGUUAGCGGCGGACGGGUGAGUAACACGUGGAUAACCUACCUAUAAGACUGGGAUAACCUCGGGAAACCGGAGCUAAUACCGGAUAAUAUUUUGAACCGCAUGGUUCAAAAGUGAAAGACGGUCUUGCUGUCACUUAUAGAUGGAUCCGCGCUGCAUUAGCUAGUUGGUAAGGUAACGGCUUACCAAGGCAACGAUGCAUAGCCGACCUGAGAGGGUGAUCGGCCACACUGGAACUGAGACACGGUCCAGACUCCUACGGGAGGCAGCAGUAGGGAAUCUUCCGCAAUGGGCGAAAGCCUGACGGAGCAACGCCGCGUGAGUGAUGAAGGUCUUCGGAUCGUAAAACUCUGUUAUUAGGGAAGAACAUAUGUGUAAGUAACUGUGCACAUCUUGACGGUACCUAAUCAGAAAGCCACGGCUAACUACGUG